ACUCAAAGGAAUAGACGGGGGCCCGCACAAGCGGUGGAUCAUGUGGUUUAAUUCGAAGCAACGCGAAAAACCUUACCUGGGUUUGACAUCCCCGGACAACCGUAGAAAUACGGCUUUAGUAGCAAUACUACCGGGUGACAGGUGCUGCAUGGCUGUCGUCAGCUCGUGUGGUGACAUGUUGGGUUAAGUCCCGCAACGAGCGCAACCCUUAUCUUUAGUUGCCAGCAUUCAGUUGGGCUCUCUAGAGAGACUGCCGUGGUUAACACGGAGGAAGGUGGGGAUGACGUCAAGUCCUCAUGGCCUUUAUAUCCAGGGCGACACACGUGAUACAAUGGACGGUACAGAGGGACGCCAACCCGCGAGGGGGAGCAAAUCUCAAAAAGCCGUUCUCAGUUCGGAUUGGAGUCUGCAACUCGACUCCAUGAAGUUGGAAUCGCUAGUAAUCGAGGAUCAGCACGCCUCGGUGAAUACGUUCCCGGGCCUUGCACACACCGCCCGU
rnacentral:rRNA from 1 species